GUAGAGUUUGAUCCUAGCUCAGGAUGAACGCUGGCGGCGUGGAUAAGGCAUGCAAGUCGAACGGACUUUAUUUUUCCGAUGAUGAGAUUACAUCAAGUCAAAGGUCGUUUAAAGUUAGUGGCGAACGAGGUAGUAAUACAUAGGAACUUCCCCCUAAGUCGUGAACAACUCACCGAAAGGUGAGCUAAUACACGAUAGUCUCUCCGGAGUAAAGUUUUUCGCUUAGGGAAAGGCCUGUGAAGUAUCAGCUAGUUGGCGGUGUAAAGGACCACCAAGGCUAUGACGCUUAGGGGAGCUGAGAGGCUGACCCCCACCGAUGGGACUGAGACACGGCCCAUACACCUACGGGUGGCUGCAGUCGAGAAUCUUCCGCAAUGGACGAAAGUCUGACGGAGCGACGCCGCGUGAUUGAUGAAGCUCUUCGGAGUGUAAAGAUCUUUUAUGAGGGAAGAAGUUUAUUGACGGUACCUCAUGAAUAAGGGGCUCCUAAUCUCGUGCCAGCAGGAGCGGUAAUACGAGAGCCCCGAGCGUUAUCCGGAAUUAUUGGGCGUAAAGGGUGCGUAGGUGGCACUGUUAGUCGUUUGUCAAAUCCUUGGGCUUAACCUAAGAACCGCGAACGAAACGGCAGAGCUAGAGAGUGUGAGGGGUAUAGGGAACUAAUAGUGUAGGGGUGAAAUCCGUUGAUAUUAUUGGGAACACCAAAAGCGAAGGCACUAUACUAGCACAUAUCUGACACUCAAGCACGAAAGCGUGGGUAGCGAAUGGGAUUAGAUACCCCAGUAGUCCACGCCCUAAACGAUGAUCUCUAGUCUUUCGGAGUAUCGACCCUCUGAGAGACGUAGCUAACGCGUUAA
rnacentral:rRNA from 1 species